rnacentral:rRNA from 1 species
AUUGAACGCUGGCGGCAUGCUUUACACAUGCAAGUCGAACGGUAACAGGCCGCAAGGUGCUGACGAGUGGCGAACGGGUGAGUAAUGCAUCGGAACGUGCCCAGUCGUGGGGGAUAACGCAGCGAAAGCUGUGCUAAUACCGCAUACGAUCUAUGGAUGAAAGCGGGGGACCGUAAGGCCUCGCGCGAUUGGAGCGGCCGAUGUCAGAUUAGGUAGUUGGUGGGGUAAAGGCUCACCAAGCCGACGAUCUGUAGCUGGUCUGAGAGGACGACCAGCCACACUGGGACUGAGACACGGCCCAGACUCCGACGGGAGGCAGCAGUGGGGAAUUUUGGACAAUGGGCGCAAGCCUGAUCCAGCAAUGCCGCGUGCAGGAAGAAGGCCUUCGGGUUGUAAACUGCUUUUGUACGGAACGAAACGGACCGGGUUAAUACCCUGGGCUAAUGACGGUACCGUAAGAAUAAGCACCGGCUAACUACGUGCCAGCCGCCGCCGUAACAC